rnacentral:rRNA from 1 species
UACAGAGGGGGCAAGCGUUGUUCGGAAUUACUGGGCGUAAAGGGCGCGUAGGCGGCCUGCUAAGUCGAACGUGAAAUCCCCGAGCUCAACUCGGGAACUGCGUCCGAUACUGGCAGGCUUGAAUCCGGGAGAGGGAUGCGGAAUUCCAGGUGUAGCGGUGAAAUGCGUAGAUAUCGGAAGGAACACCAGUGGCGAAAGCGGCUUCCUGGUCCAGCACCGACGUUCAGGCACGAAAGCGUGGGGAGCAAACAGG